rnacentral:rRNA from 1 species
UACGGGGGGGCACGCGUUGUUCGGAAUUACUGGGCGUAAAGGGCUCGUAGGCGGCCAACUAAGUCGGACGUGAAAUCCCUCGGCUUAACCGGGGAACUGCGUCCGAUACUGGAUGGCUUGAGUGUGGGAGAGGGAUGCGGAAUUCCAAGUGUAGCGGUGAAAUGCGUAGAGAUUUGGAGGAACACCAGUGGCGAAGGCGACUUUCUGGUCUGUAACUGACACUGAGGCGCGAAAGCGUGGGGAGCGAACAGG